rnacentral:lncRNA from 1 species
AAAAAUAAAUAUUGAAAAAAUAGAUAAAUAUUAUUAUGUGUAAAAGGUAGAGCCUCAGAAAUAGAACCAAGACUCCAGAAUAAUACUACUUUAUAACUCUUGAUAUAUAUCACCAAAUUACUUUCCAAGAAGAGUUUCUGCCAAUCUUUUUUUUUUUUCUGCUGAAAUACAAGCAUGCCCAUCUCAGGGAACCUUUACAAACGUUGCUUGGCAUUAUCAUUUCCUCCCCAAACUUAUAAUUGCCUGAGUUAUCACAUCUCACUCCAUUAUGCUUUGGUUCAUAUUUAUACCAAUAUAAUUAGAUGGCUCUGGAAAAGGUCACUUUUGACCUUAUUGCCAAAACCAUUGAUACAUUGAUUUGUUUUCCUUCUCAUAUUAUGUAAGCUCUCUGCAAUGUUUAAUGUCAUUGUCAAUCUCCAAUUUGGAACUCUUUCUUUAGAGCUUCCUGACAUUUAGAGUUAGAGGCACUGCAAUUUCACCUCGUUCUUCUCAUUUUACAGGCUCCCAGUGGCAAUCUUACCCACUCCUGUAACUUCAACUUACUCAGUGAUAAUAUUCCCUACAUUUUCCCUUUUUUUCUGCUGGAUCUCUAAUCUUCCCUGUGAUGGCCCUACAACCUCAGUGUAUAAACAUGCUUUUAUCUCUUCUAUCUAUAUUUUCAAAGGUCCUUCCUUGACUCUAUAUUCCUCUUUCAUGUGUUGCUUUCCUUCUGUUUACAGCCAAACUUUUAAAAACCAUGGUCUACAUGCUUAUCAAGAUCAUGAACUCACAUUCUUUUUUUUUCACUGCUCUCUGGCUUCUGGUCCCAACAGUCCUCUGAAACAGCUGCUGACAAAGAUCACCAAAGAUCAUCAUUCCUGGAUGCAAAUGUAAUGGGUACAUUUUAGCCUUUUUCUUUUGCAGAUCAAGCUCCCCAUGGCUUCUCUCUCUGUGACCACCCCUUCUUUCCUCAAUCCAAUCCUUCCUGGUCUAAGGAGCGUGGCUUUCUGCUCCACAGUCUUUCA